GUUCGCCGGCUGCCCACCCAAACCCUCGUUUUCCUUUCUUCUCUCAAUCCUACCCAAAAUCCCAAAAAAAUCUCCUCAAAAAACCCUAAAAAGUCCGAUCUAUCCCCCAAUUAGGGUUUCUAUUGUUGUUUUCUAGGGUUUGCUAGAGAGAAAAGAAAAAAAAAGAGAGGAUCUCGGAGAUGGCGCAGGUGCAUGCUCAUCCGCAGGCGGUGGUGACCGGGCCGGUGAAUGGCGGCGGCGGCGGAGCCGCCGGAGUUGGUCAGUUCCCGUCCACGUCGCUCUAUGUGGGCGAUCUGGACGUGAACGUGACGGAUGCUCAGCUGUUUGAUAUCUUCAAUCAGGUGGGGACGGUGGUGUCUGUGAGGGUCUGCCGUGAUGUGAACACGCGGCGCUCGCUCGGGUAUGCGUAUGUGAAUUUCAGCAACCCAAAUGAUGCUACAAGGGCAUUGGAUGUCCUGAACUUUAGUCCGCUUAAUGGGAGGCCUAUUCGGAUAAUGUUUUCAAAUCGUGAUCCUAGUAUUCGUAGAAGUGGGGCGGCUAAUAUCUUUAUUAAGAAUUUGGACAAGAGCAUAGACAAUAAAGGCCUGCAUGAGACAUUUGUUCAAUAUGGAACUAUUCUCUCUUGUAAGGUUGCCACUGAUCCAAAUGGUCAGUCAAAGGGUUAUGGU
rnacentral:misc_RNA from 1 species